rnacentral:rRNA from 1 species
AGGACGAACGCUGGCGGCGUGCCUAAAACAUGCAAGUCGAACGGUGGUAGCAAUACCACAGUGGCGAACGGCGGAGUAAUACAUGAGCAACGUGCCCUAAAGACUGGGAUAGUCACUGGAAACGGUGGGUAAUACCGGAUGUGGCGAUUUUCACACCUGUAGAGAUCGUUAAAUGGUUUUUCGCUUUAGGAGCGGCUCAUGGCCUAUCAGGUAGUUGGUGGGGUAAUGGCCUACCAAGCCGACGACGGGUAGCGGGUCUGAGAGGAUGGUCCGCUCGAGUGGGACUGAGACACGGCCCACACACCUACGGGUGGCAGCAGUUGGGAAUCUUGCACAAUGGGGGGAACCCUGAUGCAGCGACGCCGCGUGGAGGAUGACGGGUCUAGGCCUGUAAACUCCUUUUCUCGGGAAAGACUUAGGACGGUACCCGAGGAAUAAGCCCCGGCUAACUACGUGCCAGCAGCCGC